rnacentral:rRNA from 1 species
AUGGCCCAGCGCCAGCAGCAGGAUACAGUUAUUAGCCACUUCUCCCAUCCAGGGCACGAGCUCGAGAGGCGGCACUACAUCGGGCCGAUCUGCUUCCGCUGCGACAUGUGCUGGGAGGACCUGUCCAGCGCUGCCUACAGCUGCCGCGCCUGGUGGGACUUCGGCAUCCACGACUCCUGCGCCAUUCACUCCCAAACGUUCUCCUCCGUCGAGCACCACGCGCACCCGCUCAUCCUCGUCCAGACAGGCCGCGAGGCGAGCCUAUUGUGCGACGUCUGCUUGGGGCACUGCGCCCCGGGCUCCUUCCUCUACCGCUUCCCACAAUGCGGUUUCGACAUGCACUCAACCUGCGCGCGUCUGCUCCGGGUCGUGCGCAGCGGGUGGCACCCUGCACACGACCUCACGCUGGUCGUAGCCGACGGCCAUUGUGCCUCCUCUGAGUGCGGCGGCGGCGCGGGGCGCGCGUCAUACUACCGCUGCAUGGUGUGCAACAUCGACUUCCACAUCUCGUGUGCUGCGAGCGCCGGCGACAACAACAACGCUCAUGAUGCUCAAACAGCCCUUGACACUGAGAUUAUACAAUCAAGACUCGAACAGCAGGGUAUAAACGCGGCGUUCGACCUGUGGAGCCCUUCCUAUACGGUACGGAGAGAGUACUUCUAG